ACGCAUCUAUAUCCAACACCCACCCAAGAAAAGGGUUUGUUAAGAUGGCAAGAGCCCGGUAGACAAAU
rnacentral:rRNA from 1 species